AACGACUCUCGGUAACGGAUAUCUCGGCUCUCGCAUCGAUGAAGAACGUAGCGAAAUGCGAUACUUGGUGUGAAUUGCAGAAUCCCGUGAACCAUCGAGUCUUUGAACGCAAGUUGCGCCCGAAGCCAUUAGGCCGAGGGCACGCCUGCCUGGGCGUCACGU
rnacentral:rRNA from 1 species